UACGUAGGGUGCAAGCGUUGUCCGGAAUUAUUGAGCGUAAAGAGCUCGUAGGCGGUUUGUCGCGUCUGCUGUGAAAACUCGGGGCUUAACUCCGGGCCUGCAGUGGGUACGGGCAGACUAGAGUGCGGUAGGGGAGACUGGAAUUCCUGGUGUAGCGGUGAAAUGCGCAGAUAUCAGGAGGAACACCGGUGGCGAAGGCGGGUCUCUGGGCCGUAACUGACGCUGAGGAGCGAAAGCGUGGGGAGCGAACAGG
rnacentral:rRNA from 1 species